GGGGUUGUGGCUCAGCGGUAGAGCGCUUGCCUAGCAUGUGCAAGGCCUGGGUUCAAUCCUCAGCACCA
rnacentral:tRNA from 1 species